AACAGUGGCAAGCACUUCAAUUUUUCACAGAACACUAAAAUGUAACAUGAGAUAAAGUAUGAGGGUUCCGUCGGGGAGGCCCUGCGUCUGCGGUCAUGACUCGCUUCAAGUUUAGCGAUAUUGGUAUCAACUUGACAGAUCCUAUGUUCAGAGGAAUUUAUAGGGAGGUUCAAAAGCAUCCAGGUAAAUGUUUCUUUUAUUAAGAUGACUUACAGGAUGUAAUAGGGAGAGCUGUCCAGAUUGGCGUUAGAAAGUUUAUGAUUACUGGUGGAAGUCUACAAGACAAUAAAGAUGCACUGCAUUUGGCACAGACAAAUGAUAUGUUUUUCAGUACAGUCGGAUGUCAUCCUACAAGAUGUGGUGAAUUUGAAAAGAAUAACCUGGAUCUUUACUUAAUGGAAUUGCUAAAUCUUGCUGAAAACUACAAAGGGAAAGUUGUGGCAAUAGGAGAAUGUGGACUUGAUUUUGACCGACUACAGUUUUUUCCCAAAGAUACUCAGCUCAAAUACUUUGAAAAACAGUUUGAACUGUCAGAACAAACAAAAUUACCAAUGUUUCUUCACUGUCGAAACUCACAUGCUGAAUUUUUGGACAUAAUGAAAAGAAACAGAGAUAGGUGUGUAGGGGGAGUGGUACAUUCAUUUGAUGGCACCAAGGAAGCAGCAGCAGCUUUGAUUGACUUGGAUCUUUAUAUAGGGUUUAACGGAUGCUCUUUGAAAACUAAGGCUAAUUUGAAAGUUUUGAAGUCAAUACCUAGUGAAAAAUUAACGAUUGAGACAGAUGCACCUUGGUGUGGUGUCAAAAGUAUACAUGCUGGAUCAAAAUAUGUAAAAACUUCGUUUCCUACCAAAAAGAAAUGGAAAAAUGGGCACUGUUCAAAAGACAGAAAUGAGCCCUGCCAUAUAAUUCAAAUACUGGAGAUAAUGUCAGCAGUAAAAGAUGAGGAUCCACUGGAAUUAGCCAAUACACUAUAUAACAACACUAUUAAAGUAUUUUUUCCUGGUAUUUAAUUGGCAUGUGUCUCCCAUUUUCUAUCAUGUAUAUAAAAUUUCAUGGUAAAAGUUGAUAGUUUCAAUAAAGAAAUUCUCUG